GUUACAGAUCUGUGUGUCUACUCCUUACCUGGUGGAACUCUGGGAUACCUUCAGGACUGCAGGUGGGCUGGGUCUUCUGUCCAGGUGAGUUGGGUCUUCUGUCCAGGUGAGUUGGGUCUUCUGUCCAGGUGAGCUGGGUCUUCUGUCCAGGUGAGCUGGGUCUUCUGUCCAGGUGAGCUGGGUCUUCUGUCCAGGUGAGUUGUGUCUGCUCUGGGGCGUGGUUCUGUCUGUCCAGGUGAGUUGUGUCUGCUCUGGGGCGUGGUUCUGUCUGUCCAGGUGAGUUGUGUCUGCUCUGGGGCGUGGUUCUGUCUGUCCAGGUGAGCUGUGUCUGCUCUGGGGCGUGGUUCUGUCUGUCCUGCAGGUGAGUUGUAUCUGCUCUGGGGCGUGGUUCUGUCUGUCCUGCAGGUGAGUUGUAUCUGCUCUGGGGCGUGGUUCUGUCUGUCCUGCAGGUGAGUUGUAUCUGCUCUGGGGCGUGGUUCUGUCUGUCCAGGUGAGUUGUAUCUGCUCUGGGGCGUGGUUCUGUCUGUCCUGCAGGUGAGUCUGAUGGGUCAGGUAAGUGAUGUCCUCCCACAGCCACAGGUGAGCUCACCUGGAUGUUACAGACAACAGCACCUGGUGGAGGAAGAGACACACCUUAUUCCUCAGGUGUCCUGGUUCAGAAAUUACCAUGGCAACCCAAUCCCUCCUGGUAAUACAGCACAGAACCCAAUCCCUCCUG
rnacentral:lncRNA from 1 species